CCUACGGGAGGCAGCAGUGGGGAAUAUUGCACAAUGGGCGCAAGCCUGAUGCAGCCAUGCCGCGUGUGUGAAGAAGGCCUUCGGGUUGUAAAGCACUUUCAGCGGGGAGGAAGGCGGUGAGGUUAAUAACCUCAUCGAUUGACGUUACCCGCAGAAGAAGCACCGGCUAACUCCGUGCCAGCAGCCGCGGUAAUACGGAGGGUGCAAGCGUUAAUCGGAAUUACUGGGCGUAAAGCGCACGCAGGCGGUCUGUCAAGUCGGAUGUGAAAUCCCCGAGCUCAACCUGGGAACUGCAUUCGAAACUGGCAGGCUAGAGUCUUGUAGAGGGGGGUAGAAUUCCAGGUGUAGCGGUGAAAUGCGUAGAGAUCUGGAGGAAUACCGGUGGCGAAGGCGGCCCCCUGGACAAAGACUGACGCUCAGGUGCGAAAGCGUGGGGAGCAAACAGGAUUAGAUACCCGAGUAGUC
rnacentral:rRNA from 1 species